GAUGAACGCUGGCGGCGUGCCUAACACAUGCAAGUCGAGCGGAGAUAUUACGAGUAGCAAUACGAAUCUUAUCUUAGCGGCGGACGGGUGAGUAACACGUGAGUAACCUGCCUUAUACUGGGGAAUAACACCGUGAAAACGGUGCUAAUACCGCAUAACGUUGUCUUAUGGCAUCAUAGGACAACCAAAGGAGCAAUCCGGUAAAAGAUGGACUCGCGUCCGAUUAGCUAGUUGGCGGGGUAACGGCCCACCAAGGCGACGAUCGGUAGCCGAACUGAGAGGUUGAUCGGCCACAUUGGGACUGAGACACGGCCCAGACUCCUACGGGAGGCAGCAGUGGGGAAUAUUGGGCAAUGGGCGGAAGCCUGACCCAGCAACGCCGCGUGAAGGAAGAAGGGCCUUCGGGUUGUAAACUUCUUUGUACCAGGGACGAAAAAAAUAGACGGUACCGUGGAAACAAGCCACGGCUAACUACGUGCCAGCAGCCGCGGUAAU
rnacentral:rRNA from 1 species